AUACGGAGGAUCCGAGCGUUAUCCGGAUUUAUUGGGUUUAAAGGGUGCGCAGGCGGCCAUUUAAGUCAGCGGUUAAAUCGUGGGGCUCAACCCCAUUCUGCCGUUGAUACUGGGUGGCUUGAUUGCGGUCGAGGUUGGCGGAAUUCGUUGUGUAGCGGUGAAAUGCAUAGAUAUGACGAAGAACACCGAUUGCGUAGGCAGCUGACCAGACCGCAAAUGACGCUCAUGCACGAAAGUGCGGGGAUCGAACAGGAUUAGAUACCCUGGUAGUCCGCACAGUAAACGAUGACAACUAAAUAUUGCCGCGAGGCAGUGUUGAAGCUAACGCAUUAAGUUGUCCGCCUGGGGAGUACGGUCGCAAGACUGAAACUUAAAGGAAUUGACGGGG
rnacentral:rRNA from 1 species